rnacentral:rRNA from 1 species
UACGGGGGGGGUAAGCGUUGUUCGGAAUUACUGGGCGUAAAGGGCUCGUAGGCGGCCAACUAAGUCAUACGUGAAAUCCCUCAGCUUAACUGGGGAACUGCGUGUGAUACUGGAUGGCUUGGAUUUGGGAGAGGGAUGCGGAAUUCCAGGUGUAGCGGUGAAAUGCGUAGAUAUCGGGAGGAACACCAGUGGCGAAGGCGAGUCUCUGGGAUGAUGCUGACGCUGAGGCGCGAAAGCCAGGGGAGCAAACGGG